GGUAUUCUUUCGCCAUUUACGGAGACACUGGAAGAGAUGGCAAGGAGUGAGGCAGAUUUAAUCUGCAUUGAAGCAGAAGAAGAAGCCAGGCGGGUUUCACAGCUUGAAAGGGUUACUCGGCUACUUCCAGCGCCUUGCAAGGCUUUGCAUGUGCUGCAGAUAUCAGGCACCUACCCGAAGCAACAUGUCGCAGCAAAAGAUUAUAUAGAACUCAUGACGCAACAGCAGAAGGAGUUUUACCAGAGAAAUAUUGUCUGUGAGUCACCGUCAGACCUAUGUAGGGCCACCAUGGGCCAGUCAAGCUGUGUAAGGUAUGGAAACAAUAGUGACAGAACAUUGUUACUCUUUGCAUGUGUUUAUUCUUCAUACUUGCAACAUUAGGUAUGUUACUCUAAUUUAGGUGGCACAAAGAGAAGAAGUUUCGAAUAAGCAGUACCACAAGCCACACAAUACUCCACGCCCGACGGAGCCCCGAGGAGGUUGCCAGGGCCAUCCUGAACUCAAGGCCAUUUUCUACGGAGGCCACAGCCUAUGGACUCCGUACAGAACCCCAGGCUCGGAUGGAGUUUGAGCACCUACUAGGUGUUGAAGUUGUGGAGAUGGGUUUGCUCAUACACCCAGAUCAGCCUUGGCUGUGUGGCAGCCCUGACGGCAUGUUCUGCCUCUCAGGAGAAACGUGCCUUUUAGAAAUCAAGUGUCCCCACAAGUGUAAGGAAAAGGACAUGUUCAGCAGCUCAGGAGAGAGUAUCCUAGACUACAUCGAGGGGACUGGCAGCAACCGAAGACUGAAGAGGACGCAUAAAUAUUUCACUCAAGUACAGAUAUUACUGUAUCUGUUGAAUGUACACAAGUGCUUUUUUUAUGUAUAUUCCAGCAGACAAAGUGUUGUUAUUGAAGUCAGCAGGGAUGACAUCUUUCUUCACGAGAGCAUCCCAGCCCUUGAGAAAUUUUAUUUCACUUGCCUUCUGCCCGCUGCAGCCGCAGCGAAAUAAAGCAUGUG